rnacentral:rRNA from 1 species
CAAUAGCGUAUAUUAAAGCUGUUGCGGUUAAAAGCUCGUAGUUGGACUUCUGCUGAGGACGACUGGUCUGCCUCUGGGUGAGUAUCUGGUUCGGGCCUGAAGCAUCUUCUUGGAGGUUGCAAGCGCACUUCAUUGUGUGGUGCAACCGACUGGAAUUUUACUUUGAGGAAAUUAGAGUGUUCAAGGGAGGCGUACGCCUCGCAUAGGUUAGCAUGGAAUAAUGCUGUAAGACCAUGGUAUUGCUGUGUUGGUUUCUAUCACCUAAGGUAAUGAUAAACAGGGAUAGUUGGGGCAUGCUAUUAAUACUGUCAGAGGUGAAAUUUCUUGGAUUUGUUAAAGACGAACGACUGC